UACGUAGGGUGCGAGCGUUGUCCGGAAUUAUUGGGCGUAAAGGGCUCGUAGGCGGUCUGUCGCGUCGAAAGUGAAAACCCAGGGCUUAACCCUGGGCCUGCUUCCGAUACGGGCAGACUAGAGGUAUGCAGGGGAGAACGGAAUUCCUGGUGUAGCGGUGAAAUGACGCAGAGUAUCAGGAGGAACACCGGUGGCGAAGGCGGUUCUCUGGGCAUUACCUGACGCUGAGGAGCGAAAGUGUGGGGAGCGAACAGG
rnacentral:rRNA from 1 species